GCUCAGUGGAGCACAGUGAGGUCCAGGGCGAGCGGAGGGAAGUCAUCAUGUCCUCGAUCAUAACUGCGACCGUCCUGCUCCUGGUCCUGAUGCAGUGCUGUUGCUGCGGUGCGCGUCAGAAACAUCCUUCUUUUGCUGUUGGAUUCACCAAAGAGGAAAUAGAAAAAUGCAAAAGUAUUUCCCGUGGCACACUUCAGUGCCCCCUAUUUGUCAGAUCCAUCACUGGAAAAAAAAACAUAAAAAAGGCGAUGAAAGAUUGUCUUUGCAGUACAAUUAAGAUCAAGGGGCGUCCAAAAGUAGAGAAAUUCUGUCCCCAGAGACCUCCUCCAGCUCAAGUUCCUCUGUAAGUCACAGAAGAAGUGGACCUGCUGCAAAGUCCUACAACCUGAACAAGAGUUUUACAAUUCAACGAUCAUAGUCAUUUAAUGACAAAAAGACAUGUUAAAUAAAGGCUCUGAAUGUUCCUUAACCUCUCA